rnacentral:rRNA from 1 species
CGUAUCAUCCUACAUGGAUAACUGUGGUAAUUCUAGAGCUAAUACAUGCAAUGAAGCUGUCUGGCCUCGUGUCAGCAGCGCAGUUAUUAGAUUAAAACCAAUAUAGGCUUUCGGGUCUAUUAACGUGUGAUGAAUCUGAAUAACCGAAGCAAAGCUCAUGGUCUUGUACCGGAGCUAGAUCUUUCAAGUGUCUGAUCUAUCAGCUUGUCGUUAGGUUAUGUUCCUAACGUGGCUUCGACGGGUAACGGGGUAUCAGGGUCCGAUACCGGAGAGGGAGCCUGAGAAAUGGCUACCACAUCCAAGGAAGGCAGCAGGCGCGCAAAUUACCCACUCCCAGCUCGGGGAGGUAGUGACGAAAAAUAACGAUGCGGGAGCAUAAUGCUUCCCGUAAUCGGAAUGAGUACACUUUAAAUCCUUUAACGAGGAUCAAUUGGAGGGCAAGUCUGGUGCCAGCAGCCGCGGUAAUUCCAGCUCCAAUAGCGUAUAUUAAAGUUGCUGCGGUUAAAAAGCUCGUAGUUGGAUCUGGGUGUUUCGAUGAGUGGUGCAUCUAUUCGAUGUCUACUACUCCAUCGACACCACAAGCCAACCAUGUCCUUCUAUGCCCUUCACUGGGCGUAGAUAAUGGGCGGUUGGAACGUUUACUUUGAAAAAAUUAGAGUGCUCAAAGCAGGCGUAUGGCCUUGAAUAAUGGUGCAUGGAAUAAUGGAAUAGGACCUCGGUUCUAUUUGUUGGUUUUCAAGAGCUCGAGGUAAUGAUAAAGAGGAACAGACGGGGGCAUUCGUAUUGCGACGUUAGAGGUGAAAUUCUUGGAUCGUCGCAAGACGAACUACUGCGAAAGCAUUUGCCAAGAAUGUUUUCAUUAAUCAAGAACGAAAGUUAGAGGUUCGAAGGCGAUCAGAUACCGCCCUAGUUCUAACCAUAAACGAUGCCAACCAGCGAUCUGUCGGUGUUUAUUUCACGACUCGACAGGCAGCUUCCGGGAAACCAAAGUGCUUAGGUUCCGGGGGAAGUAUGCUGCA